rnacentral:misc_RNA from 1 species
GAUGAAGAAUGCAGCGAAAUGCGAUAAGUAAUGUGAAUUGCAGAAUUCAGUGAAUCAUCGAAUCUUUGAACGCACAUUGCGCCCCUUGGUAUUCCGAGGGGCAUGCCUGUUCGAGCGUCAUAUUAACCACUCCCGCUUGCGGGGUCUUGGGCUUCGCCUCCGGGCGGGCCUUAAAAUCAGUGGCGGUGCCGUCGGGCUCUACGCGUAGUAAAUUUUCUCGCGAUAGGGUCCCGGUGGAUGCUUGCCAACAACCCCCAACUUCUUAAGGUUGACCUCGGAUCAGGUAGGGAUACCCGCUGAACUUAAGCAUAUCAAUAAGCGGAGGA